rnacentral:lncRNA from 1 species
UUAGAUUGCACCAAACAUGCUUCUAGGUGGCUUAUGGAUUACAUUUUGAAUAAGAUUUCAGUGGGCUGAGAUGGAGGGUGGAUUUGGAAUGCAAUGGAACUGUUCCAAUCUGAGGAGACAAUAUGAACAGGGGUGCUGCAGUAAUAUGCUGUGGAAGUGAUCUACAAACAGUCACAAACUCUGGAUGAGAAAAAGGCAUAAGAUGAGAGGAGUGGGAAUUAAAGCUAGAAGUUGUGAGGGGAGCAGUGCUACAGCAAUGAGAACGCUUUAAAUCUUUGAAAAGGAUAAAACCCUAAAAGCUUAGACCACCUGACAAGGUGUGACAGCCUAAUCUUUGUGAGGUAUUUGAAGAGGUCACCACAGCUGUCUGAACUCGAAGAACUGUGACUCUCUCCCGUCCCUGAAACAAUCCCUGCUGAGUUCCAGGCAGCCAAGGGAGGUUCUGCUUAAAUGACUGCAUAAAAUCAUCCUUAGCAUAUGGGGCUUGAAAGUAAUGCUGCGUGUUGUCAGAUACCACCAGUUAUAACUGUCUCCAAGAGCAAAGGUAAGAGCGUGAGCUACGCCAUAUAUCGUGGCUUCUUUCUGGUCCUGUUGCCAUCAAGAUCCAUUCAGAGGCUCCUGGACAAAAUGGUUGACUUGAGUACCUUCAUCCUUGAGAAUGUGAAGCAGAUGAAAAUCAUUUCUUAAUUUGUGGUGGAGAAAGGGAGAGGCAAGGUCGGAGUGUCCAUUUAAACAAGACAGUCACUUAUGCCCUUCUGAGAGAUCAGCAAUCAAAUGGCUGUAUUAAAACUGACACACACUGUAUCCAAAAAGUAAAAUGAUACUUUUUAAGAAGAAAAACCAUCCCAAAAGUUAGGCAGAAUUAUGUCCUUGGCCUUCAGAAAAACACCGCAGCCAGGACAGAAUCGCUUCAUGUUCCUCUGCUCUUUUCUUCCCUGUGUUCUGCAUUAUUACUUGCUAAAUCAAUUGCAGCUGCUGACCUCGGUCCAGUGCAUUUAAGCCCUUUCUUGGGGCCUCUUUAGUGCCCUUUGAGAAUUUCACCCAUAACUCCUUCUCAGUUCCCUAAGCUGUCUUGACUUCUCUACCAGAAAAUUGUGAUUAUAUUUAUAACAGCAUUUUGAGAAUAUUUCACCAAACUGCUAACAAACCCUGUUUUAUACAACCAAUACAUGAUGCCUUCAAUGCCUUUUUCUCUGCAUGAUGGCCUAGAUUAAUGCACUAUAUAAUGUGUGUAAAUAUAGCCAUGUUUCUUCUUUAAAAGUCAUUAAGAGGGUUUUAAUAAACAUUGAAAUGAUCAAU